rnacentral:rRNA from 1 species
CCUACGGGUGGCAGCAGUGAGGAAUAUUGGUCAAUGGUCGAGAGACUGAACCAGCCAAGUAGCGUGAGGGAUGACGGUACUGUGGAUUGUAAACCUCUUUUGUCAGGGAAUAAAAGCGGGGACGUGUCCCCGGUUGCGUGUACCUGAAGAAAAAGCAUCGGCUAACUCCGUGCCAGCAGCCGCGGUAAUACGGAGGAUGCGAGCGUUAUCCGGAUUUAUUGGGUUUAAAGGGUGCGGAGGUGGGUUGUUAAGUCAGUGGUGAAAGUCCGGGGCUCAACCCUGAGACUGCGGUUGAUACUGGCAGUCUCGAGUUGGAGAGAAGUAUGCGGAAUGCGCGGUGUAGCGGUGAAAUGCAUAGAUAUCGCGAAGAACUCCGAUUGCGAAGGCAGCAUGCCAGCUCCACACUGACGCUGAUGCACGAAAGUGUGGGUAUCGAACAGGAUUAGAUACCCCAGUAGUC